GCCGGCUCGGGCGCGCACACCCGCCCGCGGCCACCCCGCCUCGCGCUCCGCCUCCUCCCGCGCUCCGCGCGCCCGCGGACUGGAGCGGCGGCGGCUGCCGCCGCCGCCUUCUCCUCCUCUUCCUGGGCGCCCGCAGCUCUCGAGAGAACUGUGCCAAGUUCCUCCUUGGAGAGGCAGCCAGAUGGACACCCAGAACUUUCCGUAUCUUCGUGUCGAGGAUGAAAAUCUGGUUAAAACAAAUGUAGACGUUGACAAGCACAAUCUACAAAAAGGAGAGAAAAGGAAAAGAAAUAACCUAUUGGUGGUCCUCAAAGGGAUGGAGUAACAUCAAGAAGGGCUUCCCAGAUGGCUCAGUGGUAAAGAAUCUACUUGCUAAUGCACGAAAUGCAGGUUUGAUACCUGGGUCAGGAAGAUCCCCAGAGAAGGAAAAUGGCAACCCAGUCCAGUAUUCUUGCCUUGGAAAUCUCACGGACAGAGGAACCUGCCGAGCUACAGUCCCGAGGGUCGCAAAAGAAUGGCACACGACUUAGUGACUAAACAACAACAACAACAAUAUCAGGAAAAGGCUCUCUCUUUCUGAAGGAAAAGAUGACCUCUAACUUCAGGUUCACACAGUCCUCAUAGUUCACAAUCUCAAAGGAAGUGGAAGAACCUCUGCCCUGGGAGGGCUCCCAUGUCAUGUGCUCCUGAUUUCUAACUACCUCAGGAAUGGAGUUACCUGGACCACGUGAUCACUCCUGGGCAGGGCAGAGUUGCCUCCAUUACAAUCACAACAAAAAGGUUCUGCAAAGAAGAAAGUAAUUGUGUUCCCAGAAGAAGAAAUUCUGGGCAGGCUAAAAACUG
ensembl:lncRNA